UACGAAGGGGGCUAGCGUUGCUCGGAAUCACUGGGCGUAAAGCGCACGUAGGCGGAUUGCUAAGUCAGGGGUGAAUCCUGGAGCUCAACUCCAGAACUGCCUUGAUACUGGCGACCUUGAGUCCGGGAGAGGUGAGUGGAACUGCGAGUGUAGAGGUGAAAUUCGUAGAUAUUCGCAAGAACACCAGUGGCGAAGGCGGCUCACUGGCCCGGUACUGACGCUGAGGUGCGAAAGCGUGGGGAGCCAACAGGAU
rnacentral:rRNA from 1 species